rnacentral:rRNA from 3 species
CCUGCCCACUGAUUAAUUGAAUGGCCGCAGUAAUUUGACUGUGCAAAGGUAGCAUAAUCAUUAGUUUUUUAAUUAAAAGCUUGUAUGAAGGGUUGGACGAGGUAAAAUCUGUCUCUAUUUAAAUUAAAAUAGAAUUUAAUUUUUAAGUUAAAAAGCUUAAAUAUUUAUAAAAGACGAGAAGACCCUAUAGAUCUUUAUAUUAUUAUGAUUAAUUUUAAUUAAGAAUAUUUUAUUUUUUAAUUUUAAUAAUAUUUUAUUGGGGUAAUAAAGAGAUUAGAAAAAUUCUUUUUGAUAUUUUAUAUAAAUAAAUAGUUAUAUGAUCCAAUAAUUUUGAUUAUAAGAUUAAGUUACCUUAGGGAUAACAGCGUAAUUUUUUUAGAGAGUUCAUAUCGAUAAAAAAGUUUGCGACCUCGAUGUUGGAUUAAAAAUUGUUC